rnacentral:snRNA from 1 species
GUGCUCACUUUGGCAGCAUAUAUACUAAAACUGGAAUGACACAGAAGAUUAGCGUGGCCCUGGGCAAGGAUGACAUACAAAGUCAUGACGUGUUACCCAUUUUG